rnacentral:lncRNA from 10 species
CUUCCCGGCUGCUUUGUUUACCUAAGCAAGCCUGGGCAAUGGCGGGCGCCCCUCCCCCAGCCUCGCUGCCGCCUUGCAGUUUGAUCUCAGACGGCUGUGCUAGCAAUCAGUGAGACUCCGUGGGCGUAGGACCCUCCCAGCCAGGUGCCGGAUAUAAUCUCGUGGUGCGCCGGUUUUUAAGCCCGUCGGAAAAGCGCAGUAUUCAGUGAGAUGAACCCGGUACCUCAGAUGGAAAUGCAGAAAUCACCCAUCUUCUGCGUCACUCAAGCUGGGAGCUGUAGACCGGAGCUGUUCCUAUUCGGCCAUCUUGGCUCCUCCGCUCUAUUUGCAGUUCUUAAAGGCCAAGUCUCGCCACAUGGCAUCAUUUCCUCCUCACCUGCAGAAUCGCUGUGACUUAUGGCUCCUCUGAUUGCACCUGCUUUCACCAGCAGCCCUGGAAGAGAGCUCUUCUGUGUGGAUAAGAGUUGAGAGAUCUUGGUUUCAUUACUUGUUUAAAUUGGACCCUCUCAAAUGAAUGUAAGCA